AACGAACGUUGGCGGCGUGGAUUAGGCAUGCAAGUCGUACGAGUUUCCUCUGGGUAACUGGAUGAAAAAAGUGGCGAAAGGGGCAGUAAGGCAUGGAUAAUCUACCCUGAUGACCGGGAUAGCUGUCCCAACGGGCAGGUCAUACCGGAUGAGCUGGUGGGGCCGCAUGGUUCUGACAGGAAAGGCGCAAGCCGUGUCGGGAGGAAUCCAGUUGGUAUUAGCAAGUUGGUGAGGAAAAGGCUCACCAAGGCGAAGAUGUCUAGCGGGUGUAAGAGCACGAACCGCGCCACUGGAACCGAGACGCUGGCCAGACUCGGACGGGAGGCGGCAGUCGAGGAGGUUCGGCAAUGGGCGAAAGCGUGACCGAGCGAGGCCGCGUGAGCGAAGAAGGCCAUUAGGUUGUAAAGAUCUGUCGAGGAGUAACAAGCCGCAAGGUUGAGUGAUCCCUGCAGGAAGCACGGGCUAAGUUCGUG
rnacentral:rRNA from 1 species